AUCCAGAUGAUGAGUUCCAAAUAGGACGAAAUACGCAUCUUGGUUGGAU
rfam:Trichobilharzia regenti genome assembly, scaffold: TRE_scaffold0012234